GAUGAACGCUGGCGGCGUGCCUAAUACAUGCAAGUCGAGCGAACGGACGAGAAGCUUGCUUCUCUGAUGUUAGCGGCGGACGGGUGAGUAACACGUGGAUAACCUACCUAUAAGACUGGGAUAACUUCGGGAAACCGGAGCUAAUACCGGAUAAUAUUUUGAACCGCAUGGUUCAAAAGUGAAAGACGGUCUUGCUGUCACUUAUAGAUGGAUCCGCGCUGCAUUAGCUAGUUGGUAAGGUAACGGCUUACCAAGGCAACGAUGCAUAGCCGACCUGAGAGGGUGAUCGGCCACACUGGAACUGAGACACGGUCCAGACUCCUACGGGAGGCAGCAGUAGGGAAUCUUCCGCAAUGGGCGAAAGCCUGCCGGAGCAACGCCGCGUGAGUGAUGAAGGUCUUCGGAUCGUAAAACUCUGUUAUUCGGGAAGAACAUAUGUGUAAGUAACUGUGCACAUCUUGACGGUACCUAAUCAGAAAGCCACGGCUAACUACGUG
rnacentral:rRNA from 1 species